GCCCUACGGGAGGCAGCAGUCGGGAAUAUUGCGCAAUGGAGGAAGCUCUGACGCAGUGACGCCGCGUGCAGGAAGAAGGUUUUCGGAUUGUAAACUGCUUUAGACAGGGAAGAAAGAAAUGACGGUACCUGUAGAAUAAGCUCCGGCUAACUACGUGCCAGCAGCCGCGGUAAUACGUAGGGAGCAAGCGUUAUCCGGAUUUAUUGGGUGUAAAGGGAGCGUAGACGGCAUAGCAAGUCUGAAGUGAAAGCCCAAGGCUCAACCAUGGGACUGCUUUGGAAACUGUUAAGCUAGAGUGCUGGAGG
rnacentral:rRNA from 1 species